UCAAAUGGUAUUGAAAGGGAAGGCAGGAGGAGGAGGAAGGGGGGGGUUAGAACACAUGCAAGAUAGUUAAACUUAGCUUAAGUUGCUGUGAUUGUAAUGCUGCGGUGAUUAACCAGUGAAAUGCCAGCCCAAGGAGCAUUAAUUACCCAUAUUCUAUGUGAUUUAUGGGUAACCAAAAGGUGAAGGUGAAAAAGAAAUGGAUACCAGCAGAAAAUAGACACUGGAGGUGUCCAAAAAAAAAAGUAUUUUUAAAAUUAGGAAAAAGGAACUUACACUUAAGAACACUUCUCAGAUGAGUCUUGCUCUUUUUUGGCCUUUGAAGAUCAUCUUUACAUGGUGGUUCCCUUCAGACUUUUAAAGCCAUGCAAUAGCCAAGAAUGCACUUGGAUUAGAUAUGGGCAGGGUGGCUGUGUGCUAGCAUUCUUACCUUCUUCCUCAAGGCAUCUUUACUGUCUAAUAUAAAGUGCCAUUUAUUCAAAUUACUUCCAAAGGGCUGGAUAUGGAAGGUCCUUCCGCCCUCUUAUGCAGAUAUCACAUAAGGUGCAAAGCAUAUUUGUACAUUUGUAGCUGUGUCCCUCUAGCUCGGGGAAACGCAUGGUUACAUGCGUUUCUUGUGGUAUAGCUUAUGAUUGGGGUUUUAUGAUCCUGUACAGUGUGAAGUAGACCCAUUCAUUCAAGCAGGUCUCCUCCAGGUCAGAUGCACCAAAGAAUUCCAUCCUCUUACCCUUUGAGUUUUAUUUUUCCUUAAUAGUGUGCCAUGCAUGGGUGCAUAAGGAAGAAUGAAGUCCUAACCCUUAGUAGGACUGUCCAGUUGCACAGUCAGAGAAGCUGUCGUGGUAAUUGCUGCAUUUCUUUAUAACUGGCUCGGCCGUGUCAUUUGCACCAUUUGUUAGUGUGGAAAAUGGAGUCAAUUAAAUAAGAAAUAGUUGCUCAUGUUUGGAAGGCUUAGCCAGCCUCUCUUUCGCUCCAGCUUUCCUAUCACUUGACUUGUUCUUCGAGGGGCCCUUUUAUUUUUGGUCUUUCGGUUUGGUACACCUUCUUAUCCUUGAAGGUUGUGUUGCCAACCAUCAAAGUUGUCCCUGCAAGAUAAAGAAGGAAGCUGUGUGGAUUAAGCAUAAAGGCAUAGCAUGAUGUCCCUAAAAUACCACACCCAGGAGAAAUAAACUCUCUCUCUCUUUUUCCCAUCUUUAACAUCUGGCCUCCUUAGAACUUUGAAAUAAAACCCACCAGCCUUCUAUAGUUUUCUACCCAUGUACACUUUCUAAUUAUGCAGGAUUCCCGCCCCCCACCACUUCCCAACCAGGAAUAAACCAAUCAUUCCAGAUGAAGACAAGGAUCUUGAAUUGUCCUCUGUUAUCCUUGAGGGUGUGAAAAUGAUAAAUAACCCUGACUAAAUGUAAAAGCAGCAGCUGAGCUAUAUAAUUCUGCUGUGCUAUAAGAAAAGGCAAAAGGCAAUUGGUUAGAGCCAGAAAUCCACCUUUGGCAUCUUCACCCAGCACAGCACACACAAAGCAAAUGUAACACGCACACACACAAAAAGCACCUCUCCCCAAAAGCAGGAAAAACAAACAAAACAACCACAAAAGCAAAACACCUUAAUCUGUAGCCAAACUUGGAAACUUUGAGGUGACUUUUCUAUCACAUGCAGCUUCUUAAUUCUCUUGCAUGGAUAAGGUUUUGGUCUUCCAUCUUUACAUUUUGAUAUUAAGGAGCCCAGUGGGUGCCAAUGAAUAGGUUUUGGCAAAAAAUAAAAUAAAAAAUAGAUAGCAAGGACGCCUGAAAAGUGUCAGGAGAACUGGUUUUCUAAAAUAAUUUAGAAAGGCGGAAACGAAUAAAUGAAGUGAAUUGUGUCCAUCCACUUGUGGCACUUUGGAAAUAACUUUAUCACAAUUAGGAAAAACUAUCCGAAGGCCUUUAGGAAGGUCCAUGAGAUCUGUUCUUUUGGAACUUUGCUGAUGAAGUUUGGGCAUGAUACUUUUCUAACAUCCCUUCUAAGGAGGUGGGUGUGAGCAUACAAGCAACAAUAUGCUCAAAUUCUUUAACCCGAUUUGAUUUUGCGCAGACUAAUUUCCCCACUUGGCUUCUCUCUCUCUUAAGUGAGAAUUCAGCUGCAGAUUUUAUAAAUCAAGGCUGACUGCUGGAAAAAAAUCAAGAGAUUGUUAAUUACCAUAUUAUCACCCUUUGGAGGGAAAAAGAAGAUGCUCAACCUGAUUAGUUUGAGAAACAAAAAAAUAAAAUAAAAUGGGAGUGCGGUGUUGAGCAAUUAAGUGCGACUUGUGAACUGCUGGGACAGUUUUGGAAUAAUGACACCAACAGGAGGAAUCGUUAUGAGUUCUUAGCAUUUGCAACGGUGAUUUGAAACAAGUUGGGAAACGUGCUUACCUCCCAGUUAGCAUUUCAAAAUGCAAUCUGGAGAGUGUGAGGGUGGAACUGUAGGAUUCGUCAAUAUAAUUUAAGUAUUCCAAAAGUGCUUAGUUUGCCACUUGCUAAGUUUACUUAAACCCUCUUUAAAGGAUUCAUUAGAAGCCUUGUGAGAAAUGGUAAAAUUCAUUAACAUUAAGGCAGGCGUUCUGCAUUUGCCUGUAAAUUGGUAUUGAUCUGCAUGGCUCAGACUAGUGGCAGCAAAGGUGGGGGGAGAGGAGGGGCACACAGAGAGAGAGAGAGAGAGAAAGAGAGAGAGAGAGGAGGGGACCAUCAGAUGGAGCAGGUGAGCGGACCAGCAAAGCACACUACACAGCAGUGCUGAACGAGGCAUUUAUGCACCAAGUGUGAUCUCCUGGCUUGCUAGAUGUUUAAACCCUGCUCAUAAUAGUUGCUAUUCAGCACCCUUACCAUUCCCGAUGAUGUUAUUCGGACCUCAUUGUUAGGGGAGCUUUAAAGCUCAGAAUGGCUGUGAAGUAACCAGUGGGAAGAGAUGAAAAAAAGAGGAGAGAGAGAGAGAGAGAGAGAAAGAAAGAAAGAAAGAAAGAGAAACUGCCUGGUGCAAGCAGAAGGAAGAUGCAGGAAUUCACACACAUGGAUACUACUUGCACGCUCACUCUCAUCCACGCACACCCUCAGCAACCAGGAGAGCUCAGUUUUUUCUCUGGCCUACAUCCAUUCCUGGCUGUGUCCCAUGCUGUAUCCGUGUGGCUGUUUUGUUUCAGGAAUCCUGCAGAGUUUUGUCCGGGAGUUUUUUUGUUUGUUUGUUUGUUUUUUUAAAAAAAAGAAAAAUCUCACUUCUCUUUGAAAUUCCCACCUGCCUUAACUCAUCCCCUGUAAAAGAACCCGUGGAGGAGAAAAGAAGCAAGAUUUUUCCUUUUCGGCUGUUCCUCAUCCGUCGGGCUGUGUCAGCAAUGAUGCUUUACAGAAAAUGGGUUGUGUGUAUAUGUGUUUUUUUUUUUUAAACAGUGAACAUUUAAGGGUUGACUCCAAUCGGAUUCAGAGAUAAUCCUUGAAGACGGGAGUGGGCUGCUUAGAAGUUCCCGACCCAUAAUUAGUUCUGCAACUGAAACCUGCCCAUUCUCGUGCCUUUUCUGUGGACGCACAUUUUUAUUACUAUUUAAAUCGUAAGCCUGGUUUUUCUAUUUAUACGAUUCGACGACGUGCACGUAUUGCCGUAUGAUACGUUCUCUGUUUCAACAGGGCAUAUGGCCUUCCUAAUCGCUAUUGCUAAAUGUAGUUCGCCAGAUUGGCAUAGUGACCUUAUUAAGUACGAGAUGUCUGGCAUUAUUGUAGUCCUGCUUUAUAUGGCUGGCAAACUGCACACAGCUCGGUGUAUGGUAAAUUGCAAGGCCCUCUUUUGAGAAAAUUUAAUUUCAGGGUUGUUUGGUUUCGUGGUGUUUUUUUUUUUUUUGUGUGUGUGUGUGUGAUGUCCUUGAUGCUUUCUAAGAAGGAACACGGUGGCUCAGUGGCUAAGACGGUGAGCUUGUCGAUCAGAAAGGCCGGCAGUUCGGCGGGUUCGAAUCUCUAGUGCUGCAUAAUAGGGUGAGCUCCCGUUUCUUGUCCCAGCUUCUGCCAACCUAGCAGUUUGAAAGCAGGUAAAAAAUGCAAGUAGAAAAAUAGGGACUUCCCCCUUUGGUGGGAAAGUAACAGCGUUCUGUGCGCCUUUGGUGUUGAGUCAUGCCGGCCACAUGACCACGGAGACGUCUUCGGAAAGCACUGGCUCUUUGGCUUUGAAACGGAGAUGGGCACUGCCCCCCUAGAUUCGGGAACAACUAGCACGUACCGUAUUUAUUUAUUUAUUUGUUUAUAUUUCUAUACCGCCCUUCUCCCGAAGGACUCAGAGCGGUUUACAGCCAUAUUGAAACAAUCUUUACAAACACUAAAAUAAUUUAAAAUGAAAUAUUUAAAUUUAGGCUGACUCCUUAAAACCCAUUUAAAAUUCCCAAUUAAAACUAUCAGGCCAGUCCUGCACGAUGAAACAGCCAUGUUUUCAGCUCGCGUCGGAAAGUCCGGAGAUCAGAGUUGCUUUCUGAGGUUGGUUGUUUUCUUGCAGAUGUUUCAUUACCCAACUUGGGUACAUCUUCAGUGCUUUUGUUUUUAAAUUGCAGCAUUGAAAAGUCCUUAACUUUCCCUGGCAUUUUUUCCCCCAUGAAGUCCAAAUGAGAACUAAUUAAUUGAGCAAAAUCUUUCCUAUGUAACAUGCUUAGGAUGAAUAAUAAUAAUAAUAAUAAUAAUAAUAAUAAUAAUUGUAUUUAGAGAAGGAGGGUUCAGAAACACUCGGUGUGUGCUUGCUUACACCUACGCAUAUUAAUUUAGAUUUAUGAAACCUCAGUAGUUUGCAGUAAAACCAAAAGUAAUAAACAUUUUAAGCCAACAACAAUUACGGUUUCGCUUUAAAAGUUUAUGUUCUUAAAAUCAUAUUAUUUUUUCCCAAAGGCACAAAGAGGUUAGGGUCUGGAACGCCAGCAGGAAAUUGUGCACCUCAGCAAUUUGGAAAGGCUGGAUGCCAAAUUGCUGCAGGCCAAGCUCACAGCAUCGAUGGGCCAAUUUCCUCAGGUGAUCUCAGUCAGCGGUGAAGGGUAUCAACUCAAAAAAAGGCCGCCUCUCAAAAGGGAGCAAAUUGCACAGAAAGCAUCAUAAAUCUUCUCUUGAGACAAAUUAGCAGCCAGUAUAAGCCAUCUUGGGGUGUGUGUGCGCGAAGGCUGAGUGGUUAAGAAGCUGAAUUUAUCAGCUAGAAAGCUGACAACAGUGUUUGAGACCUGAGCGCCGUGGGAUGGGGCGAGUUCCUGUUCUUGCCCUGGCUCCCACCUUGCAAUUCGAAAGCAUGUGAAUAGAUAAAUAGGUACCACUUCGGUGGGAAGAUAACAGGGUUCUGUGUGUCUUGGCAUAUAGUCAUGCUGGGCACAUGACCGCGGGAAUGUCUUCGGACAACAAUGGCUCCCUCAGCUAAGAAACACAGAUGAGCACCGCUCCCUAGAAUCAGACACGACCGGAAGGGCAGGGGUGUCAAACUCAAGGCCUGCGGGCAGGAUGUGCUUAGAUCUGGCCCAUGGGGUCACCCUGGAAACAGCAAAGGACCAGCCAGUGGUGCCUCUGCCAGCGAAAACGGAGCUUGGGAGGGCCAUGCAUGCCCCCACCUGGGCCCCAUUUUUGGCUGUGACGGCCUACUGCAGCACUCUGCCAGCGAGGAAGGAAGGAAGGAAGGAAGGAAGGAAGGAAGGAAGGAAGGAAGGAAGGAAGGAAGGAGAUUAUAAUAAGAGUGAGGGAAGCUCUGAGGGAAGUCCUAACUUAGACCUUGGCCACCACAGAUGCCCCUGACUCAAGUGAUAUCGAGCUGGCCACCCCCCCCCCCCACUCCUCCAAGGUCAAACACAACCCUGAUGUGUCCCUCAAUGAAAUUGAGUUUGACACCCCUGGGAUAGGAGAAACCUUUACAUUUAGCUUAUAAGGCAUCUAUCAUAGUAUGCCACGGUUUCUGAAUCAUUCUAGAUCCCCAUCUCACUGCGGAAAUUUGAUACUAACAAAUUUUCCAAAAAGACUCAAAAGUUAUCAAGUUUGGAAGUUGCAUAUCUGUCCUCGACUUACAACCAUUCAUUUAGUGACCGAAGUUACAGCAACACUGAAAAAUGUGGCUUGCGGUACUCACACUUGUAACCAUUGCAGCAUCCCCACAGUCACGUGAUCAAAAAAAAUUGGCAAUUGGCUGCCAUUUUAUGACAGUUCUAGCGUCCUGGCGAUCUCCAUUCGCAACCUUCCCAGCCAGCUUCUGACGGGUAAAGUCAACGAUGGAAGCCGGAUUUGCGCGACAACCACGUGAUUUGCUUAAUUAACCACACUGAUACGCUUAACAAACGUGGCAAAAAAAAAAAAAGGUCGUCGAAUCGGAUGCGAAUCGCUUAACCACCGCUGUGUUUCACAACGGAAAUUCAAGGUCCCAGUUGUGUCUAAAGGAUAUGUGUAUCCUGGGGAAAGUGUUAAUUGCUGCCAUUUUAGCAGCAAUGGAAAGUAUGGGACUCCGAUCAACUGAAUCAAAAGGUAAAAAAGAUAAAAUGUGCUUAUUCAGGGUUUAGGCAACUGGGCACGUUUGAUUGCAGAAUAGAUCUGCACUGCAGCGCGUUAUCUCUUGCUACACAGUUUGGGUUAAGCGGGCAGGGAAUCCCUCCUGUUCUCAAGCCCGUGUUGAGCCAGAUAGUUUGCGAUGGUUUGCCCAAAAGUAUGGCAGUCCCUCCCCGUCCCAACCUCCUAGGUACAGAUUUCCCACCUGGCUAGCUAGCCCUGGCUAACUUUGAAAAAGCUAACCGGGAAAUGAAGUUUGAAAGAAGGCAAUGGCCAAUUAUUUUUAUAUUGUUUCUUUAAAAAAAAAAGUAUAUAGACAGGCCCAUGUGGUCUUCAGAAGUCAAGCUUAUCUCAAGAGAGAUUUUGUCUUCUCUUCCUGCUCUUCUUCCUCCUCCUCCCACUCCUCCUCCCCCUCAAUUUCCCUUCCUUUUCGUUCUCUCCUCCUCCUCUUCCUCCUCUGUCUCCAACUCCCUUCCUCCUCCUCCUCCAUCUUUUUUAUUAUUUAUUUAUUUAUCGAACCAAUGAAGUCUACAUGCUUCAACCUUCUAAAAUAUACGUCACCUUCUAACAGCCAUUGUGUGACUUUUUCGGUCAAGUGCAUAUUGGCGAUGCGCAAAAGUAGAACUAUGAUAAAUUACAGCCCUGUGAGUUCAAUAGUAAAAAUGAGACAAAAAGGGAAUAAACAACAAAUUCGUGGUAUGCUGCUGUUGGGAAUCUCUAAUUCAAAUUAGCAUUGUGGAAUUGGGGUUGGCUUUUAUUUUAGAGGCCGGCAUUAUCCAGUCCAACGUAUCUGACGCUUGUCGGAUAUCAUUGUUUUAGGAAGAACUCUGCAGGGUCGUUGUCGGUCCUUCCCAGUCACCUUUUGUCCUUGUCGUCUGAAUCUGCCUUUCCUUUUUUUCCUUUUGCUCUGUCGUCUGUUUUCUAAUAUCCAUUUUUAAUUUCUCAUCUGCUUUUGGUGGCCCCCCCUAGCAGAACGUGUAAACAGAUUGGUAGAGCCUACAUUAAAUGUUUUGGAGAAAAUAAAGUGCUAUAAUAAAAGCUCACUGUGGAAAAUUUCAGUGACGUAUCUGGUCUCCCACUUUAACAUUUAGCAAGGGAAAAUUAUUAACAGGAGACCACCCUACCGGCUAUAUUCAAACAAUAUGUUUAAAUGGAUCGUUUAAAAAGUAAAAGCUGCAUCUAUUACAACAUGCUGCGUAGAGUUGCGUCUUCUUAUUUUUUCCCCCCCAUACAAAUGCAAGAUCAUUUCCCCACCUAACUGUGGCUUUUGUUGUGUAGUUUAUCCAGCGAACUUACUGUUCAAUAUAGUGUACAAACCUAGAAAAUUCAGUAACUUAAGUUAGGCAUGUUAUGUGUACGGACUGGAUAAAUCUUAUUUUGAUUCCGAUCACCUUAUAAGAUUUGGACUUGGUUUGUACUAUGGGUAGUCUUUGACUUACAACAGUUCAUUUAAUGACCAUUUGAAGUGACACUGAAAAAAGUGACGUAUGACCAUUUAAGACCCUCCAAAACAGUUAGAACAAUUAACCAGUGGAACAACUUGCCUCCAGAAGUUGUGAAUGCUCCAACACUGGAAGUUUUUAAGAAGAGAUUGGACAACCAUUUGUCUGAAAUGGUAUAGGUGGGUCAGACUAGAAGACCUCCAAGGUUCUGUUCUGUUCUGUUCUGUUCUACUCUACUCUACUCUACUCUACUCUACUCUACUCUACUCUACUCUACUCUACUCUACUCUACUCUACUCUACUCUACUCUACUCCACUCCACUAUUCUAUUCUAUUCUAUUCUAUUCUAUUCUAUUCUAUUCUAUUCUAUUCUAUUCUAUUCUAUUCUAUUCUAUUCUAUUCUAUUCUAUUCCAUUCCAUUCCAUUCUAUUCCAUUCCAUUCCAUUCCAUUCCACUCCACUAUUCUAUUCUAUUCUAUUCUAUUCUAUUCUAUUCUAUUCUAUUCUAUUCUAUUCUAUUCUUUACACUUACAGCCAUUGCAAAAACCCCAUGAUCACGUGAUCAAAAUUCAGACGCUCAGCAACUGGUUCCUAUUUAUGACGGUUGCAGUGUCCCGGGGUCAUGUGAUCCCCUUUUGUGACCUUCCGACAAGCAAAGUCAAUGGGGGUGCCAGUUUCACUUAACAACCGUGUUACUAACUUAACACCUGCAGUGAUUCACUUAGCAACUGUGGCAAGAAUGUAAAAUGGGACAAAAUUCACUUAAAUGUCUCACGUAAGCAACAUACAUUUUGGGCUCCAUUGUGGGAGGUAAGUCAAGGACUUGUGUAUGUAUUAUUCAUGUAAUUAAUUCGUUUGCACAACAUCCAGAUCCCAGUGACUCUAAAUGGGGGAUUGCUAAGAAAUUGCAGGUUUCUGUAUUAAACAAGGAAGUUGGAGCAGAGAUAAGGGACAGAUCCUGAGAAACGGCAGUGAGAGAGCAUAUCAGUUUUCUGAAAAGAAAAUUGUGUGACAUAACAUAACAUAACAUAACAACAGAGUUGGAAGGGACCUUGGAGGCCUUCUAGUCCAACCCUCUGCCCAGGCAGGAAACCCUACACCAUCUCAGUCAGAUGGUUAUCCAACAUUUUCUUAAAAAUUUCCAGUGUUGGAGCAUUUACAACUUCUGAAGGCAAGUCGUUCCACUUAUUAAUUGUUCUAACUGUCAGGAAAUUUCUCCUUAGUUCUAAGUUGCUUCAUGUCAAUGUCAAGAAUCAAGCUGAAGUCCUGGGUAUCCUUUUCCUUUUUAAAAAAUAACAUUUGGAAUGGAGGUUCAUAUAUGGAUAUUUAGCAUACAAUUCACACAGUAGGCAUUUCUGUGCAAAUAUCAUUCCAACGUAAGCAUUCCUGUAUAGAUUUCUGCUGCAUGCAAAGAGAAGUACAGAAAUGCGAUGUUGCAUGCAUUUUAUCUGUGCCUUUUCCCAUAAGGUGUACCUGUGCAUAAUAAUAACUAGACAACCCGGGAACUAGUGGGUCGUCGUUUUAGAGACCUUUCCUUAUCUAAACAGAGAAACAGAAUAACGGAGUUGAAAGGGACCUUGGAGGUCUUCUAGUCCAACCCCCUGCUUUAGGCAGGAAACCCUACACCACUUCAGACAAGCGGUCAUCCAACCUCUUCUUAAAAACUUCCAGUGUUGGAGCAUUCACAACUUCUGUCAGCGACUCGUUCCCACCGGUUAAUUGUUCUGACUGUCAGGAAAUUUCUUCUUAGUUCUAGGUUGCUUCUCUCCUUCAUUAGUUUCCAUCCACUGCUUCUUGUCCUGCCCUCAGGUGCUUUGGAGAAUAGCUCGACCCAUUCUUCUUUGUGAUAGCUCCUCAAAUAUUGAAACACUGCUAUCAUUCCCCUAGUCCUUCUUUUCAUCAGACUAGACAUACCCAAUUCCUGCAACCAUUCUUCUUCAUAUGUUUUAGCCUCCAGUCCCCUAAUCAUCUUUGUUGCUCUUCUCUGCACUCUGCGCAACAGAAUGACCAAGGGCAAAAGCAAAGUGGGAGUACUUUCCAACUUCCUGCUGGCCUGACCACAGCUGACCACCUCCCAGCAACCAAUGGUAGGACUGAUCUGCCUGGCCAAUGGAGGUUUCAGGAGUGGUCUCCUGAACCUCUGGGUGGCAGCAGUGCGGUAGCAUUGAAGCGACCACAAAUAUGCCAAAUUUCAGUCCCCUGGAAGUGAUGGGUUCCAAAUUUUGAAUGCCAUGUAAGUUAGUCCAUUCUCACUCAGUCAUCCAAGUCAUGGUUGUCCCAAAGGAGCUUUUUCAGAAGGCAGCUAGGCUUGGUUUUUCCCUGAAGACAUUUUGCUUCUCAUCCAAGAGGCUUCUUCAGUUCUGACUCCACCAUUCAAUCAGAUCUGAAGAAGCUCCUUAGAUGAGAAGCGAAACAUCUUCCAGAAAAAACAAAGUCCAGUUUCCUUUUGGAAAAAAAAACAAAAACUUUUGGAUUAGCCAUUUCCAGUACCUUGGUUUAAAAAUGGUUGACCUCGAUGCCCUGUUUUUGCCCAGUUAAAAGGUUGUGGAAUGAGAAUUUUGGUAGUAGAUAAAUUCCAAAGCAUCAGGAGUACCAUUUGAACACCAUCGGCAUUGACAAACUCACCACCAGUCAAUUGCAAAAGGCAGCUUUACUUGGAAAACCUUAUAUCCUGCGACGAUAGCUUUCAUCUUAUCAAACAGCAACAUCUGGCUAUCUGAGGUCUUUGCAAAGUGUUCAGUGGAUGAACAAUAAUACCAGAUCCAGUCUAAACAUCUGGCUGGCUGUGCGACCAAUGAUGAUAAUAAUAAUAAUAAUAAUAUUAAUCGUCAGGGAGCUUCGUGGUAUGUGAAAGUCAAGGGAAAAAUUAAAUUCUAAUCCAUGUUUUAGUUGAAGAACUCCAAAGUACUGGUGUUCAUAUUAAAAUGUAAAUCCAACCAAUUGCUCUCUGUCCCUAAUUAUAAAUCAUUAUCUAGCAUGGCAGCUUCUGUAUGGCAUACAUGGAGAGACCCAUAAGUCUUACAGCAACUAGACAGAUUCCAAUAGACCAGUGGUCGGCAACCUUAAACACUCAAAGAACCACAAAGGUCCCAACCGGAAACCCCACCCCCACCCCCCUUCAAUUCUGGAGCCAACUGGAAGUUUGGUUCUCCCACCAUAGAGUCUCGUCCGUUUUCCUCUGCCGACCAGAAGUCCGGUUCCCCCACCGUAGAGUCUCUUCCUAGAGCGGUGUCCUUUUUCCUCUACUUGUCCUAACCGAAAGCCCUAUCAAUUGUGGAGCCGACUGGCGACAGGGAGCCGCAGCAGAGGGGUGAAAGAGCCACAUGCGGCUCCAGAGCCGCCGGUUGCUGACCCCUGCAAUAGACAAAUGUGUUGCUGUUGUAAUAUCCGACUUCAGGGUAUCCUGCUUGUUUGAAAUUCUUCUGACUCGUUCCGACAAGCAUUGGAAGAAAUAGGAUGGCAGUGGGAAUUUGGGUGUAUCAAAUCAGGCCAUCGAUCCAUUAAUGUUUAAGCAUUUUUUUAAAAAAAAUAGAUUUUUUUUUUGAUUAGGACAUUUAAAGUAAAGCAUUAAGCCAGGAACAAAAAAAAAUGGAUAGCUCAUUUUAUUCAGUAAUGUCAUGUUAUCACAAUAUAGAAAACUGAACUGUUAAGCCUUUAAGUUUUGGUACAAAGAGAACAAGAGAAUUUCUGACAGAAAUUCAAAUUGACAGAGUUGGAAGGGACCUUGUAGGUCAUCUAGUCCAACCCCCCACCCAAGCAGGAUCAUUUUAGUUGUUUUUAUACACUAUCGCUAUAAAAAUUUCCAGGUUUCCCCCCCCCCCCCGGAGAGUAAGACAAAAAGGCAAGUUUAUGGAAAGAGAAUCUAGAAACUUG